GAAGGCAGCAGUUUCAGCCAUGCCGGAACUAUUGUCCUCGGCAAAAUCAGCUGUAGUGAAGGGACAAUCACAAGGUCGUGAUGAGACUUAUGUGAAACAGCUUUCUGAUUAUAUAAUACCAAAUUUGGUGGAGGCUUUACACAAGGAGCCAGAAGUAGAAAUUUGUGCAAGCAUGUUGGAUGCAUUGAAUGAAUGCAUA